rnacentral:rRNA from 1 species
UAAUACGGAGGGUGUAAGCGUUAUCCGGAUUUAUUGGGUUUAAAGGGUACGUAGGCGGUAAUAUAAGUCAGUGGUGAAAUCCUGCAGCUCAACUGUAGAACUGCCAUUGAAACUGUAUUACUUGAGUAUACUUGAGGUAGGCGGAAUGAGUAGUGUAGCGGUGAAAUGCUUAGAUAUUACUCAGAACACCGAUUGCGAAGGCAGCUUACUAAGGUAUAACUGACGCUGAUGUACGAAAGCGUGGGGAGCGAACAGGAUUAGAUACCCUGGUAGUCCACGCCGUAAACGAUGAUUACUCGCUGUUGGCGAUACACAGUCAGUGGCUAAGCGAAAGUUUUAAGUAAUCCACCUGGGGAGUACGCUCGCAAGAGUG